GACGAUUAUCUAACAUUUUCUCCUUUUUCUUCUUUCAGAUCUGUAUAUUUUAUCAGGAUCAUAGUCCACUUUCGCUCAAUUUCAUUCACUCGGACAUCUAACUUUGCAUGCGGUGAACGGAAAGUUCAUAUUCCAUAAGUGUCCUUCUUUUUAGAGUGUUGUAUUAAUAUACUAUGCACAGUAGUUACGACGUGAAAUCUAGUGACGAUGUCACGACAGUGCCGCAUCAGCGUAUGCACGAGUCAGAGGUUGGAAAGCCUAACGAGAACACUUCCCUAUCUCCCAGCUACGAUCAAACCUAUUUCGCCGAUGAGAGGGUUCAGGUGCCAGAAACAGGGAAUACGGGGUUUAGCUUUAGAAAACUAUGGGCUUUCACGGGACCUGGCUUCUUAAUGUCCAUAGCUUAUUUGGAUCCUGGCAACAUAGAAUCGGAUCUACAAUCUGGAGUGGUAGCAAGAUACAAGUUAUUAUGGGUACUACUAAGCGCUACUAUCCUAGGUCUCGUUAUGCAAAGACUCAGCGCGCGUCUCGGCGUAGUAACCGGUCUACAUUUGGCAGAGAUGUGUUUCAGACAAUACAAAAAAGUACCUAGACUUAUUUUAUGGUUAAUGAUUGAAAUAGCAAUUAUUGGUAGUGAUAUGCAAGAAGUAAUAGGAACGGCUAUUGCCCUUUACCUCUUAUCUAAUACAGCGAUUCCUAUAUGGGGUGGCGUUCUUAUCACAGUAAUUGACACAUUUACAUUUUUAUUCUUGGACAAAUACGGAUUGAGGAAAUUGGAGUUUUUCUUCGGUUUUCUCAUCUCGAUCAUGGCAGUUACCUUUGGUUACGAGUACAUAGUUGCCGCGCCUUCUCAAAUAGACGUUAUAAGAGGUAUGUUUGUUCCAUGGUACAAUGGAAUGAAUUACGAUAACAAAGUAUUGCUCCAAGCUGUAGGAAUUGUCGGCGCAGUCAUUAUGCCGCAUAAUUUGUACCUUCACAGUGCUUUAGUUAAAUCUAGAGACAUUGAUCGAAGACAGCCUGCAAAAAUCAAAGAUGCCAACAUGUAUUACUUCAUUGAAGCCUGCAUUGCACUAUUCGUUUCGUUUCUAAUCAACGUGUUUGUCGUAGCUGUAUUUGCUCAUGGUCUCUAUAACAAAACGAAUAACGAUGUUUAUAAAGUUUGCGAAGCAAAUAAUUAUACUUUCGGUACAAACACUUUUCAGCAAAACAAUGCGACGUUUGAAGCUGAUCUUUACAAGGGGGGAAUCUUCCUCGGUUGCUCCUUCGGCGCAGUUGCAAUGUACAUAUGGGCUGUCGGUAUUUUGGCCGCCGGUCAAUCGUCCACUAUGACGGGCACUUAUGCCGGUCAAUUCGCGAUGGAAGGAUUCUUAAAUCUACAGUGGGCACGAUGGAAGCGAGUCCUGUUAACUCGAACAAUCGCCAUAGUACCUACCUUCUUGGUAGCGUUUUUGGCUGACAUGAAUAAUUUGAGCGACAUGAACGACAUUUUAAACGCUAUAAUGAGUCUACAGUUACCUUUUGCCACCUUACCGACAAUUGCUUUCACAAGCAGUGCUCAAAUUAUGGGUGAAUUUCGAAACGGAAUAGCGAAUAAAAUCGUAGCGACUGCUUUGUCGGUCCUAGUAAUAACGAUAAAUAUAUACUUCGUGGUACAAACUGUUCAAGAAGACCUGCCUCAUCAUUGGGCUAUAUAUUUAGUCAUGUGUAUAUAUGCGAUUUUGUAUCUUAUUUUCUGCGCUUACUUGGCCAUCCACAUGGCUGUGAGCAUGGGUGCUACUUCCCUCGGUAAUAAUUGGUUGGUUACAAAAUAUAUUGGUACGCCCGUAAGCCCGACACUUGGAAUAUCAAAUCCUGCAGUUUAUGCCAGUUUUCACAAUACGUCGGAAACCUCGUUAAACGCUUAGUUGGAGUAAUGCAGUUGAAUGUGUGAGAGAAUAUGCGACCUAUUAUUAUGUAUUACAUAAACACAUGAAAACAAUGUUGCAUUGGAAAGGUGCUUAUAUCAUCUCUCGUGAUGUCAGCAUAAAGCCCCAUGAACAAAUCCAGCGUUUACUAUUCAAGAAAGUGGUAGUUUUUCAUCUAUAUCAGAAUGGUAAUGUCUUGACAAAUAUAUCAGCAUAGGAUAUGUAGUAAACAGUGUGUGCCACGAAGAGGAUAAAAACAAGAGUCUGUUUUCAAUUGUACAAUUAAAUAAGAGGUAAUGUUUAGUGCUUGAUGCAUCGCACUCAUUCCAUCGUUAAAAAUUCGUUAACAUCAUAAAUUUUGAAUAUAAUUUUUUCAUUACAUGAUAGAAUUAUUAAAAUUAAUUCGUAUUAAUAUUGAUAAGACAACUAUACUUUGUUCAAUGAGAAAUUUACAGCUUUCGCACAUAGAGGCGGCAUAGUGAGCAAAAUGGACAUGUUUCGAGAUUAUUUACAAUACACGAGUAUAAUACAAUACAGGAUACAUCUCCACUUUAUCUGCUUUAUACCACCUCCUAUGCGCGAAAAAU